UAGUAUUUCAGGAAGUCCAUGAGAUGUUGGUUCUAUAAGUGGUUUUGUAGUAUCGGUCGUUGCUAAAGGCGAUGGCGGUUGAGGUGAUGAUGGUGAAGCAGCAGAUGGUAAAGGUGUAGGAGAAGGUAGUAGUGUAGAUGAUGAUGGUAAUGUAGAAGAUGGUAGUGGUGAAGUUGAUAGUGAUGAUGGUGUAGUGGGUGGUGGUAGUGUUGUAGGAGGUGAGACAAUCGUGUCUGUUGGGACCUUAGUAUUUUGUAGAGCAGUUGGUGCUGAAGGUAUAGUAGUAGUAGAAGGAUUAGUUGUCGCUAUCGGUACUGAUGUUGUGGUGUUGGUUGAGACGGUGGCAGAGAUAACCAGUCAUCAGUUGUAAGAUCCGUAAGAGGCAUUGAUGGGUCUGUUUGUGGGGGUGACAAGCCAGGGAAUUGGUCCUCAAAGAAUACUACAUCGCA
rnacentral:lncRNA from 1 species